rnacentral:sRNA from 1 species
UCCGUAGGUGAACCUGCGGAAGGAUCAUUACUGUUGGCCUCCGGGGCGCCUCUGGCCCCGGAACCUCCACCCGUGCUUACCGGACCUUUUAACUGCCUCGGCGGGCCCGUCUUCUGGGCUGUCGGGGCCGGUCGUCUCCCCCGGGGGGCGGGCGGCCCGGGCAUGCGCCCGCCGGUGGCACCCUUGAACCUCUGUGAAUCGUGGGCAGUCUGAGUGGGAUUGAAUCGUUAAAACUUUCAACAAUGGAUCUCUUGGUUCCCGCAUCGAUGAAGAACGCAGCGAAAUGCGAUAACUAAUGUGAAUUGCAGAAUUCCGUGAAUCAUCGAGUCUUUGAACGCACAUUGCGCCCCCCGGUAUUCCGGGGGGCAUGCCUGUCCGAGCGUCAUUGCACCCCUCAAGCACGGCUUGGUUUUGGGCGACCGUCCCCCGGGACGCGCCCCAAAUGCAUUGGCGGCACCGGCCCCGGUGUCCGGAGCGUAUGGGACCCCCGUCACGCCCGUAGGACCCGGCCGGCGCUGGCCACAAUGAUCGCUAUGUACCUCUGGUUUGACCUCGGAUCAGGUAGGGAUACCCGCUGAACUUAAGCAUAUCAAUAAGCGGAGGA